rnacentral:rRNA from 1 species
GUGGGGAAUAUUGGGCAAUGGGCGAAAGCCUGACCCAGCAACGCCGCGUGAGGGAAGAAGGUUUUCGGAUCGUAAACCUCUGUCCUUAGUGAAGAGAAAGAGACGGUAGCUAAGGAGGAAGCCCCGGCUAACUACGUGCCAGCAGCCGCGGUAAUACGUAGGGGGCGAGCGUUGUCCGGAAUGAUUGGGCGUAAAGGGCGCGUAGGCGGCCUGUUAAGUCCGGAGGGAAAUUCCUGCUUUCAAGGUAGGAAGUGCUUUGGAAACUGGCGGGCUGGAGUGCAGGAGAGGUUAGCGGAAUUCCCGGUGUAGCGGUGAAAUGCGUAGAGAUCGGGAGGAACACCAGUGGCGAAGGCGGCUAACUGGACUGUAACUGACGCUGAGGCGCGAAAGUGUGGGGAGCAAACAGGAUUAGAUACCCCAGUAGUCC